rnacentral:rRNA from 1 species
CCCGGGUUUGUAAAAUAAAAAGGGGGUUCGGCGUGCCCUUUAUGGAAAGACCCCCCGUGCCCCUUAUUAUUUUGGGGGAGGUACCGGCUCCCCCAAGGGCAACGAGGGGGUACCCGCCCCGGAGAGGUGGUUCGGUCCUCAUGGGAUAUGAGACUCAGCCCCCAACUCCUAUCGGGGGGCAGACAGUAGGGAAUUUUUCCCCCAAUGGCCGAAAAUUCUGACGGAGCAACCCCCGCGUGAGUGAUGAAGGCUUUUCGGGUCGUAAAACUUCUGUUGUUAGGGAAGAACAAAUGCUAGUUGAAUAAGCUGGCACCUUGACGGUACCUAACCAGAAAGCCACGGCUAACUACGUGCCAGCAGCCGCGGUAAUACGUAGGUGGCAAGCGUUAUCCGGAAUUAUUGGGCGUAAAGCGCGCGCAGGUGGUUUCUUAAGUCUGAUGUGAAAGCCCACGGCUCAACCGUGGAGGGUCAUUGGAAACUGGGAGACUUGAGUGCAGAAGAGGAAAGUGGAAUUCCAUGUGUAGCGGUGAAAUGCGUAGAGAUAUGGAGGAACACCAGUGGCGAAGGCGACUUUCUGGUCUGUAACUGACACUGAGGCGCGAAAGCGUGGGGAGCAAACAGGAUUAGAUACCCUGGUAGUCCACGCCGUAAACGAUGAGUGCUAAGUGUUAGAGGGUUUCCGCCCUUUAGUGCUGAAGUUAACGCAUUAAGCACUCCGCCUGGGGAGUACGGCCGCAAGGCUGAAACUCAAAGGAAUUGACGGGGGCCCGCACAAGCGGUGGAGCAUGUGGUUUAAUUCGAAGCAACGCGAAGAACCUUACCAGGUCUUGACAUCCUCUGACAACCCUAGAGAUAGGGCUUCUCCUUCGGGAGCAGAGUGACAGGUGGUGCAUGGUUGUCGUCAGCUCGUGUCGUGAGAUGUUGGGUUAAGUCCCGCAACGAGCGCAACCCUUGAUUUUAGUUGCCAUCAUUUAGUUGGGCACUCUAAGGUGACUGCCGGUGACAAACCGGAGGAAGGUGGGGAUGACGUCAAAUCAUCAUGCCCCUUAUGACCUGGGCUACACACGUGCUACAAUGGACGGUACAAAGAGCUGCAAGACCGCGAGGUGGAGCUAAUCUCAUAAAACCGUUUUCAGUUCGGAUUGUAGGCUGCAACUCGCCUACAUGAAGCUGGAAUCGCUAGUAAUCGCGGAUCAGCAUGCCAGCGGUGAAUACGUUCCCCGGGCCAUUGUUCAUCCAGGGCCCCGUACAGUCGUGGACAAGGUAACCGUAGAGUGUUGAUCAGGGCUCAGUAAGUCGUAACAAGGUAACCGUAGAGUGACGUCGGU